UAUAAAAGAGACUUCAGAUACAGUAUUAGGGGACCCCUAAAGGUCUAUAUAAUAGACUAAACUUCAGAUACAGUAUUACGGGACCACUAUGGUCUAUAUAAAUAGACUUCAGAUACAGUAUGAAAAAA